UACGUAGGGUGCGAGCGUUGUCCGGAAUCAUUGGGCGUAAAGCGCGCGUAGGUGGCUCUGUAAGUCCGUUGUGAAAGUCAAAGGCUCAACCUUUGAAAGCCGAUGGAUACUGCAGAGCUAGAGUACGGAAGAGGCGAGUGGAAUUCCUGGUGUAGCGGUGAAAUGCGCAGAUAUCGGGAAGAACACCCGUGGCGAAGGCGGUUCUCUGGGACGGUACUGACGCUGAGACGCGAAAGCGUGGGGAGCGAACAGG
rnacentral:rRNA from 1 species